rnacentral:misc_RNA from 1 species
CCUCACACACAACAAUAGUAAACAUGUGAUCAGGCAGAAGUUCCGCAAGUGUUAAUGCAAGUAUUAUCCAAAGCUUAAUGCUACAGAACUGUUAAAGAAAGAAUUUAAGCAUAGCUUCAGUGAUUGGUUAACAGUACACAAACAAUACUGGUAACCUCAACAUGAAGUAACUAUCAAAAUUUAAACAAAAUGUUCAAACCUUCUACACAAUCAACACAAAUAUGUAUGGCCAUACUUCGAACCUGCUUGACCGUAAGGUCUCCUAUUUCCUCCUUUGGCCACAAAUCUAUCUUGGGUCGUGCAAAAAUUUGCAAUUGUCUCCGUAAUAGCAUCUUCCUUGAGCAUAAAAUUUGCAUAACUUCUGUUGUAGGUAACCAUUCCUAUUCACAGGGUCCAUUGCUUGGUAAUGUUUCAUGCUUCUCAAUGGCUGUCUAUGAUGAUCAUCAUUCGUAUAGAAGUUGGAUAACCACGAACCAACCUUAUCACAGUUGUGUUGCUCAACUUCCUGGAUGCCCCUAUAAUCAACCAAGUUAUGAGGAACUCUAUGCGAAUUAUCAUUCUCCCUGUGGUCUUUUUGCAGUUUGGGCUGAAAUGGCAGUUUCCCAGUUUCAAAAGAAAAACCUGACCGUUGAGGAGGUCGAUUUGUCUGUUUUAAAGAAUCAGCCAAUAUAUCUGACUGUUGAGGUUGAAUUCCCAGCCUCAAAGGCCUGUUACCCAUCUUUAACAUAUCAAUGGAUGAUCCUGAUCUCUGAGGUUGAGCUGCAGGCUGUAGAUGUCUACCACCUUCCAUUUUUUCUCUGUUAGCAAAGGAUCCCCAAGGUUGAGGUAGAAUAGCCAGCUGCUGAGUUCCAUUUCCCACUUUAACAGGAAGAAUGGAUGAUCCUGAAUGAUGAGGUGGAAUUAAUUUCUGAGCUCCACCACCCAUUUUACUGUGUGAUUGAAUUGACAUCUUCCUAGAAUCAACAGAUGAACCCAACAGUCGAGGUUCAGGAGCUGCUUUUCCUAAGUUAAUAGAUGAACCUGAUUGCUGAGCAUGAAUUUCCUCAUUUGCUGUUAAGUUUGCAUACAAUUGAGACUGGUUCCUAUUUUUCUCCUCCUUUGUCAACGCCCUAUUUUCCCUGAGAACUUUCCUUCUUUCUUUCUCCUGUAUUCGAGUUUCUCUUGCACACCUAGCUAGAGAACCCCUUGAGUGCUUUUCAAUCAAAAUCUUACGUCUCUCCUCUUCAUUUUCCCAUCUCUAAAGUGAUGAAGGAAAGGUUCGCAAUUUUUAUAAACAAUAAUAUUAGAUCAACACUAGAUGACGUAAAAAAACAAACAACUUCUACCAGUUACAAACCUGCCUCAAAGUCUUCAGUCUGUACAAAUUCCUACCCUUUAUUAGGAGAGGAUGAAGUGGACAGAGGGGCUUCUUCCCUUUGCUCCAAAGGACCUCUAUCGUAAAGGUAUGCUGUUGUUUCACAGCACCAUAGCUUUCCUUCACAAUUCGACCAGCAACUAUCCUUGUGCCGCAAGGAGGACCUCUGGCGCUACGUGAUGCUAUAUCGUACCUAGAAAAUUGGCAACAGAAGUAAAAAUUGUCCAAUUUGAGAAAAUUUGUUAUAAGCAAAAUGCGUGUGGAUGACUAGUAGAAAAUUUAUUAAUUUACCCAACUUUCCCUUGAAAGACAAGAUAAAUGAGGAGAAGCAACAUAUGCAAACAAGAAAGUCAUAAACUUAGUUUAAGGAUUAUUCUAAUCAUAUGCAAAAUAUUUGUUGCACAAAGAAAAUAGUCUAAAGGCUCACAGUUCAUAAACAUUCUGCUCAAACAUAACAACAUCACCAGUACAUGCAUCACCUUUACAAUCCAAAACAAAGCUAGAUACUGGAUACUUUUUCUCCCCUCCAUUCAAAAUCUCUUGAUGCUCCUUUAUGCGCUGAAUGAGUGUGUCCUUAUUGCCAGUCAAUCUCAAUCCAUUCUUCCUCAAAUAAACUUUACACUGCUCCACUUUCAGCUUCUCUAGCUUCCCAGCUUCUAUGAUCUCUUGAACUUGUUUAAAACUUUUCUCAUCAAUUUCUCCCACAUUCAUCUCCGCCUCUUCUGGGUCUAUCUCAACGUCAACGUCCAUUUCCAAAUUUUUGCCAAUCCGAAAUUUUGAUUUCUUCUUGAUAGAGAGUUUAGCGAGUUUGCCUCGAGUACUCUCCUCAAGGACGCAAUAACUUGGAUCCAUAUCCGAAUCAUACUCUGCGUCGGACUCUCCACCUUCAUUGUAAUAAUCUUCUUCCUCCUCUUCAAGGUCUUGGUGAUAUUGGGGUUUUUGUUGCUCAAAGAUUGCCAUUGAUGCGUUUGAUUAUGCAGCUCUAACUUGGGUAUGCGCUUCGUUU